rnacentral:rRNA from 1 species
CGAAGACAAGAGGGAUACAUACACUUUAGUUUUUCCCGUACGCUCUGUAGUGAGUGAGUGAACCAUGGCUAGUUCUUCUUCAGAACUCACCAUCGACGUUCUUCACUCCGACCUUAGUACCUUAAUAGUCCGAACAGGAGGAAAAAGCGUACUUCGUCGUCCUUAAAUUGACAACCGCUUCUCCUCCUACGACGACAAACAUUUUUUCGUGGACUAUACAGAACCACCACGUAAAUAAAAUGUCUUACCUGCCUUCGUUACUCCUAAUAAUAAACCAGUUGGUGGUUCAAAUCAAAUACGACCGACCCCGUCUCAUGACUUUAAUAAUAAACCAGUUGGUGGUUCAAAUCAAAUCCAAAGUAACUGACCGUAACUAGGAACUGAGAAUAGAUUCAGAGUCAUCACUUAACUUAAAGUGUCGACUAAGUCUUGUAUGUAUCGAGAACAUAGGUAAGUUUGUUUGUCUUGUUUAUCUUCACUUGUCCCGUUAACAGACACAACUAUACGACUUUCUUACAACAACGAAAGAUUCCCAUUCCCGUAGGUAUAUACAUUGUCUCGAUCCCUCCUCGAUAAA